rnacentral:rRNA from 1 species
CCGAUGGAGGGGGAUAACUACUGGAAACGGUAGCUAAUACCGCAUAACGUCGCAAGACCAAAGAGGGGGCCUUCGGGCCUCUUGCCAUCGGAUGUGCCCAGAUGGGAUUAGCUAGUAGGUGGGGUAACGGCUCACCUAGGCGACGAUCCCUAGCUGGUCUGAGAGGAUGACCAGCCACACUGGAACUGAGACACGGUCCAG